GGAAGAGAGCAAUGAGGACUUGUUGGACAUACUUGUGGAAUCCAAUAUCAGAGAAAUGGAAGCAAAGAAUAUGGGGAUGAGCAUUGAGGAUGUGAUUGAGGAAUGCAAGCUGUUUUACUUUGCUGGCCAAGGGACCACUUCGGUCUUGCUGGUGUGGACUAUGGUUUUAUUAGCAAGGCAUCCCGAUUGGCAAAGUAAAGCAAGAGACGAGGUUUUGCAUGUUUUGGGUGACAGUAAACCUGAUGCUGAUGGCCUUAAUCGUCUCAAAGUUGUAAGUCCCUAGCAUGUCUUUUGAAGGUCCGAUCAAUGAGGUCGACAACUCAAAAACUUGGUUUCUUUGUUUCGCUAAUUCUACAGGUAACAAUGAUAUUGUACGAGGUUCUAAGGUUGUACCCACCAGUGGUUGAGCUAGGACGUUCCGUUCCAAAAGAAAUAAAACUGGGAAAUUUGUUGUUACCAGCAGGAACAGACGUUUUGGUUCCAAUCCUGCAGAUCCACCAUGACAAAGAUCUUUGGGGCGACGACGCACGGGAAUUUAAGCCAGAGCGGUUCACGGAAGGAGUUUCCAAAGCAACAAAGAGUCAAGUCACGUUUCUGCCAUUCGGAUGGGGUCCUAGGAUCUGCAUUGGCCAAAACUUUGCCAUGAUGGAAGCCAAAAUGGCGAUGGCUAUGAUUCUCCAACGCUUCUGGUUCGAGCUUUCCCCUUCCUAUGCUCACUCUCCUUACAGCAUGGCAACUCUUCGUCCACAGCAUGGUGCACAGAUAAUUUUACAUAAACUUGGCUCUAAUUGAAUUGUUAUGUAAAUAAAUCUUUGUGAAAAUAUAUAGCUUGUUAGUGUAUCGUCAAAGUCCGGUGUCUGUAAUGGUACAAUUCCGAUGCAUGAAUAGUAAAUUUUGAGAUGUUUAGUGAAGUCCGAAAUAAUAUGCAGAAAUUGAGUGUCUUGAAUGGAUGUAGUAUUUAAUGGUGGACAUAGCUGGGGGACUAAUGUGGUAAUUAUCGAACAAAUAAUUGCAUAUGGUACAAAGACUUGUAUGGAAAUUAGAGCAGGGGGAGUAGAAAAUGACUACUUUGCUUUGGGCAUCAAUUUAGAAAGAUUUAAAGUACAAAUGUAUUAUUAGUUUAAGGGAUUUGUUUUAAAGAAGGAAUGACAAUUAAACCUUAUGAUUGAUUUGUGGAAAGGAAUCGAUGAUGGGAUGAUUACUUUUAGUGGUAAAAAAAACUAUUAAGGAGGUUAUUAUAUUUGUUAUCACCGGCCCAAAAUUUAAAUGUAGUCACGUCAAAUUAUAUCGAGCUCGCAAUAUGAGUUCACGGACCAAGUUUGCAUGAUAAUAGGUGUUCACAUAAAGGUAUUUAUAGUUUACUGCAAAGUCACAUGUGAGAUCGUGCAUUGGAACCGAAUAGACAUGUUUUAUGUUUAGAAUAUGAUACGUGUCUAUGUGCAUAGAAUCUACCUAGUAUAUCAUAUCAAUGAAUAGUAUCAAUUGCGGAGCCAAAAUUUUUUUGAGGGGUAAGAAUUAAAUUGUAUAUUUUUACUAAAAUAAAAAUUCAAUUUUACUAUUUUAAUAGUUUAUUUCUUUUUAAUUUUUAAAUGAUUAAAUCAAAUUUUUAUAAAUUUUUAGAGAUCAAAAUAUAAUUUUAUCAUUACUAAUUUAAAAUUUUAUAAAUUAUAAAGUAUUUAAAUAAAAAAAUUUCCUAUUUUAGGGUGACCAAGGUCCUGCCAACUUCCUACUCGAUCACUGAACAGUAUAAAUAAAUACCAUCAUCUAAAAUACUCAAGAAAAACACUCAAGGAUAAAUAGAGAGAUGUUGGGUAAGUGUCCAAAAUAUGAUUUAAGUGAAGAUACGUGUGGUAGGUGUCAUGGAAAUGUAAAGACAAGAAUCCCACUAAUGUAUGGGAUGUGUACACUUGAAUGUAGGGAGCAAAGAGGAGCGAAUCAUUGUGGUAACAUUUGGACAAGAAAUAAUGAACAAAAUGAAAGGAGAGGAAGCUAGUAAAAGAUUUUUUUGGGUCAUAUAAUUUGUUUGGUAUAUAUUUUUUUAAUUUUUAAAUAUCAUUUUGGAGUUGAAUUAUAGUUUCUUUUUAUGUUUUAAAACAUAAUUAUUUUAUUUUUAGAGUGUCAAAGUAGAGGUGAGCAUGGAUCAGACUACUCGGCUCGGCCGGAAGAUCUGUCUGAAAUGUGAGAGGUUUGAGCAAAAAUAUAGGCAAAAAAAAUGGGCUUGGACAAAAAAUAUAAGGCUCGUUUAGAAAAUGGGUCGGGCCUUGAGUAAGACAUUUUUGGCCUCGAGCCUGGCCCGGCUUGAAUUCACUAAAGGACAAAAAAAAUUAAUUUUUUAAAUAUUAUUUUCUUGUUAUUUUCUUCCUAUUUUGCUACCAUUGUACUAUUAUGUUACUACUAUUUUGUUGUUAUUGUUUGGAUAUUGUAUAAACCUUAUUUUAUUGUUAAUUUUGUUAUUAUUUUAAAGACAUUUGUUAAUUUUGUUAUUAUUUUAGAGACAUUUGCUUGUUAAGUUGCAUCUAUCUUAGUGUUAUUUAAGUAUACAUAUUUUUUAAAAUUUAUUUUCAAUUUGUUGGAAAAUAUUUAUUUUAUAUUUUUAGUAUUUUAGAUGUAUUAUAUAUAUUUUAAAAUUAUAUAAAAAUUAAUAUGGACAGGAGGGUCGAGCCCGAGUUUUAGCAUUUUUAUUCGGGUUAGGCUUGGACAAAAUUUUAAGCCCAUUUUUUGGGCCGAGCCUAACAAACAGUCUUGAAUUUUUAGUUGAGCUUGGCCCGGCCCAUGCUCACCUCUAGUUCAAAGCUGCCCUCGCUUUGCAUUUCUUUGAGAUUCAGUUUUAUCUACUGUUGAUUGGCCACUCAAUUGAGGGUUGAAUAGAAAGAUUUGGUGAAGCAAGCUAAGCUAUCAAUCAAGGUUGGAGAAAGCUUAGGAGAUCACAAUGCAUAAUUAUUUAAAUGUAAUUCUAAUAUUUAAAUAAAAUUUAUUAAUUUAGUAUUAACAAGCCUUAAAUGUAAUGAUCAUAUACUAUUACAUUUUCAAGAAGAAAAAAUAUGUUUGAACCUUAAAAACAACAUUAUUAAAAAUAAUAAUCACAAAUCUUAAAAUAUAAAAAAUAUAAUUAAAAAUUAAUUUUAAACUCGAGCUGUAACAGCCCAAAUUUCAGUGGUGUCGGAAUAGUGAUGUGAGAUCACUAAAUACGACAUGUGAGUUUAGAUAUUAGUAAGUAAAAGUUAAGUGUGAUUUUAGAAAUAUUUUUGAAUUAGUGAAAUUGUGAAUUAAAGAAAAUUUCUAGAUAAAAACGAGGUAUCGAGACCUCUAAUUCAUAAACCAAGCCAUAAAUAUUUUUAGAAAUAUUUAUGGAGUGUUACUAAGUUAGUAUUAAAGUUUUGUUAAGAGAUUUUAACAUUUCAGUAAUUAAUUGAAGAAAAAUGACUAAAUUGAAUAAAGUGUAAAACUAUCAAAUAUGAUUAAAUAGCUUAAGAGAUCAUUAAGGAAUGAGUUAAAAGGUAAAUAGACCCAAAUUAGGUGGGUUGGACGGCAUGAGUGUGCAGGAAAUGUAAAAAAAUCAAGUGUGAACAAAGGGCAAAAGUGAAAAUAGGGUAAAAUUUAAUUGUAAAAUAUGAUGUAGUUGGUAAUUUUAGAGAAUUCAUCAUUUUUCUUCAUCUUCAUCAGCUAAAAACACCAUUAGAGAGCUUUUAAGAAGCUGGUUUUAUAUUUUACAGCAUGUAAGUUCAAUUCUUGAUUAUUUAGUUCAAUUCUUGAUUAUUUCUUGUAAUUUUUGUGUUUUUUGAGACUUUUACAAUUGGGUCCUACUAUUUAACUUAUUAGUUUUUGCUUUUAUGAAUGGUUUAGAAAGUUUCCAUAAAUAAGAGCUGAAAUUUUAUGAUGAUUUAUUAUGGAAUUGGGACUGUAAGUUUAUUAUAUGAUGAUUUUAUGAAGAGAUUUUAUAAGAAUUGAUUUUUAGGACCUAAUUGUGAAAGUCGUUGUAAUUAGGGUUUUGUGUUAAAACUUUGAAUUUCAAAGGCUUGGAAGUAGUUAUAAUGUUUAGAUAAAAUGAUAUUUUAGAAUAAUUAGUUCAAUUGAUGAACAAAUUGAGCAAUGACUAAAUUGUAAAAAUUGAAAAGUUUGAGAAAAAAUGUAAUUUCAAAAAUUAAAGGGUAUAAAUUGUGAAGUAGAAUAGAAUUGAAAUAGAUGCUCAUGAGGGAAUGAUUUUAUAAUUACAGAUCAAGAAAACGAAGUGAAUCGUGGAAAGGAGAAAUUGCAAGAAUAUUCCCUGAAAUUUCUACGACUUUUGCAAAUCAGCCCAGUUAAGUUCAUAUGGAAAAAAUUAAUGUUUUGUUAUGAAAAUCUUAUGAUUUGAUAAGGUAUAUUAUUAUAGAUGAAUACUAUCAAAUUGUAAUAAUUAUGAAAUAAUAUUUAAGUAAAAGUACAAAUUAGUUGGAACAAUGGAUUUGAGUGCUUUCGUUCUGUGACCAUGAUGAAUUGAUGGAAAAGGUGUGAUAUGUGCGCCCGUAUAAGACCAUAGCUGGGCUAUGGCAUCGGUGCAAUGUGAUAUGUGCUCCUGUAUAAGACUAUAGUUGGGCUAUGGCAUCGGUGUGAUGUGAUAAUGUGCUUCUGUAAAAGACCAUAUUUGGGAUAUGGCAUCGGUAUGAUAUGUGACCCGUGUAAGACCAUAACUGGGCUAUGGCUUCGGUGUGUGAUAUGUGACUAUGUGCAAGUCUAUGGUUUUACCAUGGCAAUGUGAUAAUGAAGCACUCAAUUCCAUUAUUGUUUCCUAAUUUGACUAUGAAAGUAAAUGAGAAAUAGGCCCAAGAGAUCUAAAAUUGGUGAAUAGUGACAUUGAAAUCAAUCAAAUGAGUUUAUUAAUGAUUUGUGAUUUACAGGAAGGUUUAGUGAAAUUAAAUAUUAUAUGAUUGUGUGCAAUAUUCGGUAAGAUUUAUUUUUCUGUGCUUAUGAGCGUACUAAGCUUCAAUAAGCUUACUUGUGUAUGUUAUUUGUUUUGUAGAUUGACUUAUAUACAUACGGAGGAUUGGAUCUACAUCGAGGAUCACGCUAUCCAGAUUUAUUCUGGUAGAUUUUGUUAAACAACUUUUUGAUUUAUAUGGCAUGUAUAGGGUUGAUUUGAUAAUGUAAUAGUAUGAAUGAUUAAGUAUGUAAAGUAAAUUGAAUGCGAUGGUUGUGUUUGAUAAUGAAAUAUACAUGUUUUGGCUUGAAAUAGUUGAUUUGUUGGACUUUAUUAGUGUAUAAAUGUGAUUUUGUGCAGGAAAAUAUUAAAAGGGUGAGAAAAGAGGCAUUAAAUGACCUAUUUUCGUCCACACGAGUAGGCGCAGGACAUGUGUGACACACAACCUACUAUAUGGGCAUGUGAUAAGAUCGUGUGUCCCUUGCAACUUAAAAAUGAGAAUCAGAAUGUCCAGGUUUAGGCACAUGGCCUAACAUAAGGGCGUGUGGCUUGACCGUGUGACACACCCACGGGCUUUAACAUGGCCGUGUGAUACGGCUGUGUGAAGUCUGCACUUAAAAUGUGAAAUUUAAUUAUCACACGGCCUAGCAACACAGACGUGUGCUCAGGCUGUGUGACUCAAGUUUCUUCUUGAAUGCAAGUCAGAGAGCUCCACGGGCUUGGGACAUAGGCGUGCGUGACCACACAGCCUACCCACACGGGCGUGUCCCUAUCCACACGGGCGUGUGGCCCUGUUUCAUGAUAAUUUUUUUUAAAAUUUUCUAAAAGCUCUGAAAGUUCUUAGUUUGGUCCCGAUCUAUCUCCAACAUAUAUUUUGGGCCUCGUAGGCCCGUAUAAGGGACUUUAAGCAUGUGUUUGAAUAAUAGUUAAUUUGGAAUGAAGUUUUAUGAUCUGGUUUUGGGUGUUUAAUUGUGUUUAAGCCUGGUAAUACCUCGUACCCUGUUCCGGCGUAGAAUACGAGUAAGGGGUGUUACACAAGCUGGAUAAAAUUCUAAUUUUUGAUAAUGAUAGUAAUAACAAAUCAAUAUUUAAAUUAAAAUUAAAAUUAAUUUAGUAUAAUAUAAUUUUUGAGUUUUCGGCAAAGGCACUCAAUGAAUGCUUGGAAAGAAAUAAUGCAACUUAGUGAAAUAAUGCAACUUAGUGAUAGCUUUUGUUGGAGUUAUAUGCUGUUAUUAUAGUUUUAUGUUUUUAUCUUGCAAAAACAACAUAUUGGAGUUUUCGGUGGACUUUUAAGUUUCAUGAUUUUUUCCUAAUACUUUACGUGAAAAAAAUAAUGGUACUUAAAAAUCUAACAAAAGCUUCUCUAUAAUUUUUAUAAAAAAAACAUUGCUACAAUAUUACAACACAAAGUUACAAUAAUAGCUUAUAACUCAACAAAGGCUAUCAAUAAAUAAUCUCAAGCAAGUUAAAGAGAAAUGUUGAGAAUACCACCCAAAUAGUGACCGACUUUAAAAGUUGAAAACCCAAAGCUAUAGUAUCUCAAACGAAAUCAAACCAUAAAUAUUAAAAUUUUUCGAGUCUAUUAGCUACUGUAAAAAAAUUUAGCUCCAACAGACACCAAAUGAGCCUUUGAUUGAAGAAAAUACGAAAACUAGUCUAGGUAAACCAAGCUGCCAAACUUACUUAUCUUAUCUUUAAUCUGCCGUGAAAUUCAAAACUAAGUUUUUGUUUAUUUCACUUAGAACGACUUUCAAAAAAUUAUUUUUGAAAAAUGGAUUGAUUUUUUUGAAAUAGAUGAUAUUUUAUUGUGUUGAAACUUUAUUCGUUGUCUGAAAACUUUUUUUAAAUUAUUUUCUUAGAGUUAUUUUUAGUGAAAUAAACAUAACAUAAAUAUAUUUGUUAUAAAAAAUUAUAUUAGUAUUUUCUUUUGACAAUUAAAAUUUAUUUUAUGAUAAGACAAUAUUUUACAAUAAUUAAUAUCAUAUAUAUACGUAAUAAUAAAUCAUGUUUAAUUAAAAUUUAAUUUAAAUUAAAUAUAUUAAUAAAGCUACAUAUAAUCAUAUUUUAUAUAAUUAAAAUAUUAAUAUAAAUAUUUUUCAAUAAUAUAUUAAAAAUAUUAAAAUUUAAUAUUAUUAUUACUAAAAUUAAUUAUUAAAAUAAAAAAUGUAAUAUUAAAUAAUUUAUUGUAUUAUUAAAUAUAAAUAAUUAAAUAUGUAUUUUAUAAUAUUUUAAUAUUCUUAAACAGCCAUGUUUUAUAGAUGCUGGUGAUCGUGAUGGUGCAGGCCCUUCUUGUUAUAAUUACUAUAAUUUCUAGUGCAAUAAUUGAAGUUGUUGGGUGGUCAAGCAAACCUCUUUUUGACUGAAAUGCAUGUAAUAUACUGGGCGAAUCUAGAGGGGUUCGCGUGGUACCGGUCUCUCUAAAGUUUAAAAUUGUUAUUUAAAUUUUUAAUUUUUUUAAAAAAUUUUAAAUUUAAUAAAAGUAAAAUUAUAUUUUUAGCUCUUAAAAUUAUAAAAAUUAUAUUUAAUCCUUUAAAAGUUAUAAAUAUAUAGACUAAAAAAUUAAAAUUUCAUUCGGCUUAUUAAAAGAUUAUUCUGGCUUUGCUCUUGAUACCGAUGUUGAAUAUUUUAGAGUAUGUUUCUUUAACAUGGUUCAAUUAUAUAUUUAUAUAAUAUAAUUAUUGUUCAUGAAUGUGACAUCGUAACUAAGUUCAUAUGCAUGUCAACAUAUAUAUUAUUUUAGGGUUAAUACGUUUUUUUUAAAUGUGAGUUCACCUAUAUAAUGGUAUGAACCCGUCACGCGGUCUCAUGAAAUAUGCGAAUAUAUGUCGUGCGAACACAAAGUACGAACUACACAGAAUAAGGACUAAGACCCAAUUGGGUAAUCGGAUACGGAUCAGUAAUAAUGAAUUUCAUAACAGCCACCAUCCCCUCAUUUGUUCUAAUUUAUUUUAUUUCCAGUGAGUUAUUGUUUAUGAUAAUUCACAACAAAUGUUUUUGUCAUUAUUUUUUGGUAAAUAAUAAUAAGAUUAAACUCUACUUUCUUAAGCUCCUUCAAUUCUUUGGACGUUGGUGGUUUUUUAUUCUAAUCUUAUUUUCUUAUUAAUUUCUUUUUUAUAAUAAAUGUGUUUAUAGAUUAAAUUGGAUUAUAAUUGAGUCAUUGUAUGGAAUUAACAUAAUUCAUAUCGAUUAAAAUUUAUUCGACUGGAAAUACAAAUUUAAAAUUUUACUUCAAUUUAUCUUAAUUUAUAAAUGAUGAAUUUAAAUUUAUUUUUUUCUCUCAUUAUAUUCAGUUUUCCGGAUAAGAUUUGGCCCAGAACAAAAACUAUAACAAUAAAACAAAUAUAUAUGUUUUCCAAAAAUUAAAUUGUUAACUUUUAAAAAAAUAUUUUUAGCUAUUUCUCAUCAUUGAGAAUAAAAAUAAGGUCACCUCGCCUCAUGCUUCAACAACUCAACCUAGAUUCUCAUCACCUGUAUUUAUCAUCGAUUCAGAUUUUUAUUUUUACUAUAUUCAAGAACUACCUAUAAAUCUAUCUUCAAACUUCCUCUGGUUAAGUUCAUUCAUAGAUAGGUGAGUAAACUUGAGCUUCAGCUUCAACAAACACCAUAGUUUGAAGACACAAUUCUCUCAUACUAAAAAUAUGGAAGUUUACCAUGUAAUUAGAGAUUUGGUCUCAUUGCUUGUUGUUGGGUUAUUAAUGAUAUGGGGAUGGAGAACUUUAAACUGGGUAUGGUUGGCCCCAAAGAGGCUCGAAAGGUGCUUGAGACAACAGGGUUUUGCAGGGAAUACUUACAGGUUCCUUUCCGGUGACAUAAAACAGCUCUCAACUAUGGGCAGACAAACAAAAGCCAAACCUAUGCCUCUUAGUGAUGAUAUUGGGCCUUAUUGUUGGAGUUUCAACACACUUUAACCGGGUAAAGUAAGAAUUUUAAACAGAGCACUAGCAGCAACGUAUUAUACCCGGAUAAAAUAUGAAGGAAAAAUGCUUGGAGUUCAAGCUUUUAGCUACUGUCAAGAAUGAAGAACAGAACUUAGAAGUUUUUAGAAGGCAAAAAAAGAUGGAGCAUAUGGAAGAAAAUCUGAUGAUUUCAUUCAUUGAAACAUUGGCUUAAAGCCAUUACAUAUACCAGUCAUUUGGCUGGUCAAAAGAUUAACAAAUCCUUUACCUAAACACUACCUAACUCCACUAAUUACAUAGGGACUAGGUGAUUUUACUUGCAAACAUAAACAAAGAUGGUGAUCAGCUCUAUCACCAUCAAAUUACAUCAAACAUAAACUAAACUAAGUUCAAAAUGAACUAGAUUACAAAAGCAUAGUUAAACGGUAACAAAAUGUAACUGAGACGGAAAAGAAGUAUCAACCCCUUCAGUUGCAUGUAUUUUACUCGGGUAACUUGUGUGUAUGAAUUCUUGCACAUACUUUACCCGGAUAACAUAAGUGCAUUAAUUUUCACGUGCUUGAAUCUGCAUGGGCUGCAUGGGAACUAACUUCAACACUUAUGUUGCUCCUUUUCUUCAUCAAAUUGUCAACCAGUAUGGUUUGUUUUUUAUUUAUUUAUUUAAUCUUCAAUUUAUGAUAAUUCUUUGUUAUUUAUGUAUGGAAUUUAUUGGGAGGAAAUGCAGGAAAGAAUUCAUUUACGUGGUUUGGUCCAAGACCAAGGGUGAACAUUACUGACCCUGAAAAAAUAAGAGAAAUACUUAAACAAAUUUAAUGACUUCCAGAAGGUACAUACCAAUCCACUGCUUAAUUUGCUUGUAAGCGGCCUUGUUAACCUCGAAGGAGACCGAUGGAGCAAGCGUAGAAAAAUCAUAAACCCUGCAUUUCAUCAAGAUAAGUUGAAGGUAUAGAAUAGUGAUGGGUACUCAAGACUUUACAGAAAACAUCAUACUUAAACCUAUGCUUUUCUGAUUUAGAAAUAAUUGGGUGCAGAAUAUGUUGCCAGCAUUUUAUCAAAGUUGUAGUGACAUGUUAAGCAAAUGGGAGAAGAUGGUGUGUACAGAAGGAUACAGUGAGUUAGAUGUGUGGCCUUAUCUCGUAGAUUUGACAAGGGAUGUGAUUUCCCGAUCUGCUUUUGGAAGCAGCUUCGAAGAAGGCAAGCGAAUUUUCCAAUUACUAGGCGACCAACUCGUUCUCAGAAUCAAAUUAAUACAGAUUGUUUACAUUCCAGGAUGGAGGUAACCCUCAACUUAAUUUACUUGAAAAAGGUUGCAAAUGUUGGAAUUCGCUAAAAUCGUGUUUGUUUUCUUGAAGGUUUUUGCCAACAAAGACAAACAGGUAGAUGAAGAUGAAACAGAGACACAUAAAAGAGUCGCUUAGGGAAAUGAUAAAGAGAAGAGAGAAGGCAAUUAAAGCAAGGGAAGAGAGCAAUGAGGACUUGUUGGACAUACUUGUGGAAUCCAAUAUCAGAGAAAUGGAAGCAAAGAAUAUGGGGAUGAGCAUUGAGGACGUGAUUGAGGAAUGCAAGCUGUUUUACUUUGCUGGCCAAGAGACCACUUCAGUCUUACUGGUGUGGACUAUGGUUUUAUUAGCAAGGUAUGCCGAUUGGCAAAGUAAAGCAAGAGAGGAGGUUUUGCAUGUUUUGGGUGACAGUAAACCUGAUGUUGAUGGCCUUAAUCGUCUCAAAGUUGUAAGUCCCUAGCAUGUCUUUUGAAGGUCCGAUCAAUGAGGUCGACAACUCAAAAACUUGGUUUCUUUUUUCGCUAAUUCUACAGGUAACAAUGAUAUUGUACGAGGUUCUAAGGCUGUACCCAUCAGCGACUGAGCUAGGACGUUCCGUUCCAGAAGAAAUAAAACUGGGAAAUUUGUUGUUGCCAGCAGGAACAGAAGUUUCGGUUCCUAUCCUGCUGAUCCACCAUGACAAAGAUCUUUGGGGCGACGACGCACGGGAAUUUAAGCCAGAGCGGUUCGCGGAAGGGGUUUCCAAAGCAACAAAGAGUCAAGUCACGUUUCUGCCAUUCGGAUGGGGUCCUAGGAUUUGCAUUGGCCAAAAUUUUGCUAUGAUGGAAGCCAAAAUGGCAGUGGCUAUGAUUCUCCAACACUUCUGGUUCGAGCUUUCCCCUUCCUAUGCUCACACUCCUUGCAGCAUGGUAACGCUUCGUCCACAGCAUGGUGCACAGAUAAUUUUACAUAAACUUGGCUGUAAUUGAAUAGUUAUGUAAACAAAUUUUUGUGAAAAUAUAGCGUUUUAGUGUAUCGUCAAAGUCCGGUGUCUGUAAUGGUACAAUUCCGAUGCAUGAAUAGUAAAUUUUGAGAUGUUUGGUGAAGUCCGAAAUAAUAUGCAGAAAUUGAGUGUCUUGAAUGGAUGUAGUAUUUAAUGGUGGACAUAGUUGAGGGACUAAUGUGGUAAUUAUCAAACAAAUAAUUGCAUAUGGUACAAAGACUUGUAUGGAAAUUAGAGCUGGGGGAGUAGAAAAUGACUACUUUGCUUUGGGCAUCAAUUUAGAAAGAUUUAAAGUACAAAUGUAUUAUUAGUUUAAGGGAUUUGUUUUAAAGAAGGAAUGACAAUUAAACCUUAUGGUUGAUUUGUGGGAGGGAACCGAUGAUGGGAUAAUUACUCUUAGUGGUAAAAAAAAAAAACUAUUAAGGAGGAUAUUAUACUUGUUAUCACCGGCCAAAAUUCAAAUGGGUUUGGGUUGAAUUAUAUUGAGCUCGCAAGAUGAGUUCAUGGACCAAGCUUGCAUGAUAAUGGGUGUUCACAGAAAGGUAUCUAUAGUUUCCUGUAAAGUCACAUGUGAGAUCGUAUAUUGGGACCGCAUAAACAUGUUUUAUGUUUAGAAUAUGAUAUGUAUCUAUGUGCAUGGAAUCUACCUAGUAUAUUAUAUCAAUGAAUAGUAUCAAUUGCGGAGCCAAAAUUUUUUUUGAGAGGUCAGAAUUAAAUUGCAUAUUUUUACGAAAAUAAAAAUUCAAUUUCACUAUUUUAAUAGUUUAUUUCUUUUUAAUUUUUAAAUGAUUAAAUUAAAUUUUUAUAAAUUUUUAGGAGGUUGAAGUACAAUUAUAUCAUUACUAAUUUAAAAUUUUAUAAAUUAUAAAGGACUUAAAUGAAAAUUUUCCUAUUUUAAAGUGACUAUAAAUAAAUAAAUACCACCAUCUAAAAGACUUAAGAAAAACACUCAACAAUUGUUGAUAAAUAGAGAGAUGUUGGGUAAAUGUCCAAAAUAUGAUUUAAGUGAAGAUACGUGGGGUAGGCGUCAUGGAAAUGUAAAGACAAGAAUCCCACUAAUGUAUGGGAUGUGUACACUUGAAUGUAGGGAGCAAAGAGGAGCGAAUCAUUGUGGUAACAUUUGGACAAGAAACAUAAUGAACAAAAUGAAAGGAGAGGAAGCUAGUAAAAGAUUUUUUUGGGUCAUAUAAUUUGUUUGGUAUAUAUUUUUUUAAUUUUUAAAUAUCAUUUUAGAGUUGAAUUAUAUUUUCUUUUUAUGUUUUAAAACAUAAUUAUUCUAUUUUUAGAGGGUCAAAGUAGAGGUGAGCAUUGGUCGGGCUAUCCGGCCCGGCCUAAAGAUCUACUAGAAAUGUGAGAGGUUUGAAUAAAAAUAUAGGCCCGAAAAAUGGGUUUGGACAAAAAAUAUAAGGUUCGUUUAGAAAACGGGCCGAGCCUUGAGUAAGGCAUUUUUGACCUCGGGCCUAGCCCUGCCUGAAUUCACUAAAAGACAAAAAAAAUUAAUUUUUUAAUAUUAUUUUCUUGUUAUUUUCUCCCUAUUUUGCUAUCAUUUUACUAUUAUUUUGCUACUAUUUUGUUGUUAUUAUUUGGAUAUUAUAUAAAACUUAUUUUAUUGUUAAUUUUGUUAUUAUUUUAGAGACAUUUACUUGUUAAGUUGCAUCUAUCUUAGUGUUAUUUAAGUAUACAUAUUUUUUAAAAUUUAUUUUCAAUUUGUUGAGAAAUAUUUAUUUUGAUAUUUUGAGUAUUUUGGAUGUAUUAUAUAUAUUUUAAAAUUAUAUAAAAAUUAAUAUGGGCAGGCUGGGUCGAGUCCGAGUUUUAGCAUCUUUAUUUGGGUUGGGUUUGGACAAAAUUUUAAGCCCAUUUUUCAGGCUGAGCCUAACAAAUGAUUCUAAAUUUUUAGUUGAGCUCUCAGCCCGGCCUAUGCUCAUAUCUAGUUCAGAGCUGCCCUCACUUUGUAUUUCUUUGAAAUUCAGUCUUAUCUACUGUUGAUUGCCUACUCAAUUGAGGGUUGAGUAGAAAAAUUUGGCGAAGCAAGCAAAGCUAUCAAUCAAGGUUGGAGAAAGCUUAGGAGGUCACAAUGCAUAAUUAUUUAAAUGUAAUUCUAAUAUUUAAAUCAAAUUUAUUAAUAUAGUAUUAACAAGCCUUAAAUGUAAUGAUCAUAUACUAUUACAUUUUCAGGAAGAGAAAAUAUGUUUAAACUUUAAAAAUAACGUAAUUAAAAAUGAUAAUCAUAAAUCUUAAAACAUAAAAAAUAUAAUUAAAAAUUAAUUUUAAACCCUGGAUAAAAUUCUAGUUUUAGAUAAUGAUACUAAUAACAAAUCAAUAUUUAAAUUAAAAUUAAUAUUAAUUUAAUAUAAUUUUUGAGUCUUCAGCAAAGGCACUCAAUGAAUGCUUGGAAAGAAAUAAUGCAACUUGGUGAUAACUUUGUUGGAGUUAUAUGGUCUUAUUAUAGUUUUAUGUUUUUAUGUUGCAGAAAAAACAUAUUGGAAUUUUUCGUGGACUUUCAAGUUUCAUGAUCUUUUCUUAAUACUUUAUGUGAAAAAAAAUAAUGGGAUUUAAAAAUCUAUCAAAAAGCUUCUGUUGUAGGCCAAUUUUGGCUCAAAUACAACCCAAUUAUUCAAACCCCUUAAAACCCAAUACAAAAUAGCCCAACUACUAACCCUAGCCCAGACCAAUAAUAAAAAAUAGCAAAGAAAAAAAGAACCCUGGCCACCCCGUGAUGUUUGCCACCCCACGCCUCUGCAGCACCAUUCCCAGGCAUCACACACUCUCACCAACUCCUCCAUACCCUGCAAAAUGAGACAAACACCAAGACAGAAGCUGACAACACAAGAGCAGUAGCAAGAGGCUUAAAAUAUCGUUUUGAAAUGGCUAUAAGAGGGAGAUCCGAUUGUAAAAAUUGGGGGGGAUUCAAUAUGCAAAAAUUGUAUCACGAAUUUUGGCAAAUCAAAAGCAAAAAAAAAGCACAUAAAAAAGGUUGAAUUUUAUUUCCUUUUUUUGUUUCUUUAUUUUUUAUUUUCCUUUUUUUCUUCAAAAAAUCAGUUUUAAAACAAAAAAAAUAAAAAAAAGAAGAAAGGGGAUUUACCUGAACUUCGGAGCCGCGACAUCGGAGCCCUACUCCGUCGUUGAAAUCGGCUCUCAAAAAGGAAAAUGGGGGUCUCUCCCUUCAGAUUUUCGGGCUAAGAAAAUAGGGCCUUCAGGCGCCCCCAAAAUCGGGGUCAAAAGCCCCCAUUCAAGCAACCCCGACCACCACUUACGGUGGCUCCAUGGCGGCGGCAAUGAUGGGUAUAAACCCUAGCAAAAGGGGAAAUGAGGGAGAGAGAGCCAAGAAACUCUCUGUUUUUUUUGCUUUUCAAAAUGGGGGCUGGAAACACAAAAUAAAAAAAAGGGUUUUAAGUUAUUUGAAAAAAAAGGGCUGCACUUUAACUCGUUUAACAGGCCUAAUAUGUGCCUUUUAAUUGAAAGUGAGGGAAUUAUACAUUAGGUCCUUCUCAUUUGCGCAAACAUUCAAUCAUGCCACAUUUAUUUCACUUCCUUUUUAAUUUGGCUUUAAAACUUACGCAUAUUAGCAAUUCGGUCCCAUUUCUUUUUAUUUUAUUAUUUUCACCCCGAAUUUCUGUCUAGAGUUCAAAUUAGCCCCUUUUCGUCCUUUUCUUUUCUUUUAUAUUUUAUUUUAUUAUUUGAUAUUAUGGUAUUAUAAUUGUAUUUUAUUUUCUUGCAUAUUAUUUGCUAUUAUUAUUAUCACCUUCAUUCCAUUAUUAUUAUUGCUAUUGCUAAGUUUUUUGUUGUUUAUAUUUUUAUUUAUAUUAUUAGUAUAUUGUUAUUCCUUAGUUUAUUAUUAUUAUAUCAUUUUUUAUGUAUUUAUCUACAUUAUUAUUAUUAUUAUUAUUUUUGAACACAUCAUGCAUUUUAAAUUAUUACCAAUUUUAAAUAUUUUAUAUAUAUCAUUAUGUAGUAUUUAUUUUUAGAUUCUUAUACGUAUCUUGGUAUUUUAGAUUAUUACAUGUAUACCUAUAUAUAUAUAUCUUUUAUUUUAAACAUUUUUCUAUGCAUUAUCUUACAUCAAAUUUCUUUUUUUUCACGUUAUUCUUUCUAAAUAUUUUAUAUGUCAUUUGAACUAAAUUCUAUUUUUAAAAUUUUUAUAUAUUACUUAGUUACAUUAUUUUAUAUGAAAAUUAUUUUGAACUCUUUUAUUAUUUAUUGUAAACCUUUAUUAUUGUUAAUUUUAAGACUAUAUAGGUAUUUAUUAAAAAAAAUUCAUAAAUAUUAUUUUGGAUUUAUAUAUAUUUUUAUUUUUGAACAAUAUUUAUUUUAAAAUUUUCUUUUACACAUUUUAAGCUCUUUGGUAAAUUAUUUUAAAGUGUUCUUGUUAUUUUUUUUUGUAUUAUUCAUCUUAUUUCAUUUAACAUAUUGUUUAUUUGAAGUUUGCUUUAUAUAGGUUACUUUAUUUUAUGCCCAAAAUAUUAUAUAUAUUAAUUAUUAUAAAUUGUUUUAUAUUCUUUACUUUAAAUUGCCUUUUCAUUUUAAAAUUGUUUUAUGUAUUAUUUAUUUAAAACUGUCUUAUUAUUUUGAAUUGUUUUAUGCCCCAUUUUUUAGAGCUCAAUUUAUUUAUUUUUAUUUAUCACCCAUUAUACGUUAUUUCCUUAUACUAUUACAUAUUUUAUACUUAUAUAUACAUAUAUAUGUGUAUGCAUCAUUUGAUCUAAAAUUUUUGUAAAUAAAUGUAUCAUCUUUCCUUAAAUCAUUUUAUAUAUUUUAAAUAUCCAUUUUUCACUUUAUUUACUUUUAAAACUUAGUUAUGAUCAUGUUAAAUAGUUUUUAUAUCUUAUUCGUUUUAAUUGGCUUUAUACUAUAUAUUUUUAUAUUAUCACAUAUGUUAUUUCAUUUAUUUGUUUAUUUAUUUUUUUUCUCCUUGAUUACUAAUAUUAACAUUUAAAUAAUGCAUGUUGAGUGAUUAUUGUUAUUGCGUGUACCUUAAUUCAUUCACUUGCGUAUUUAUAUUUGUCGUACAUUUGUGAUGUUAUUCUUGUAUUAUUAUUUCAUGGUCUAUACUCCCUUUCAUUUUGUUUCGUUUAAAUCAUAUCGUGCAUCUACCUCAAAUGUAUUUGUCCAAACAUGGACCGUUUUAAUCCAAACAAAUGAUACACGUCGCUUAAGUAUCACACUUGCUAUGGUUUUUAAAAACAAAAAUUUCAAAAUGAGGCAAUGUUUCGCGUUUUAGAACAUCGAGAAAUUGUGCCCUAACUUAUGGGGUUUCGGUUUUCUCGUUGGUUCUAAAUGUCAAAGUAUCCUUUUGAGUUUUAAAAUACACGAAAUUUUAAUUAAAAUUAAAGAUACACCUAUGCUCGAGAAUUCAUGGUAUGGUGUCCUAACUUACGGGAUGUGAUGCUCCGAUAUCUUGAGAUAAGGAAAUCUUUAAACAAAUUGUUUUGAGCUAAUUCAAAAAUUUUAAAAUUGAUAUUGAUAGAAAAGAUCAUAUUUCAAAUUCAUUCCCGAUUUUUGAUUUUCGACAUUAAGACACUAACUAAUCAAUUCGGUACUAAUUUUUGGGCGUGUCGGGGGCGCUAAUCCUUCCUCGCACAUAACCGACUCCCAAAUUUGUUCUCUUGGAAUUCGUAGACCAAAAUGCCGUUUUACUAAACUAAAAUUGUUAAAACAAAGGUGAUCCGAUCACACCAAAUAAAGAUCGGUGGCGACUUUCGUUUUAAUUUUUGUUUCCAAACAAAGUCGACCCCAUCCUUCAAAAAUCGGUUUCGACAGCUUCACUAUAAUAAUAAUAAUAAUAAUAAAUUGUUACAAUAUUACAACACAAAGUUACAAUAAGAGUUUAUAACUCAACAAAGGCUAUUAAUAAAUAAUCUCACACAAGCUAAAGAAAAAUGUUGAGAAUACCACUCAAAUAGUGACUGACUUUAAAAGUUGAAAACCCGAAGCUAUAGUAUCUCAAACGAAAUCAAACCAUAAACAUUAAAAUUUUUCGAGUCUACCAGCUACUGUAAAAAAUUCAGCUCCAACAGACACCAAAUGAGCCUUUGAUCGAAGAAAAUAUGAAAAUUAGUUUGGGUAUACCAAGCUGCCAAACUUACUUAUCUUAUCUUUAAUUUACAGUGAAAUUCAAAACUAAAGUUUUUGUUUAUUUCACUUAAAAUAACUUUCAAAAAAUUAUUUUUGAAAAAUGGAUUGGUUUUUCGAAAUAGAUGAUAUUUUAUUGUGUUAGAAUAUUAUUCGUUGUUUGAAAACUUUUUUUAAAUCAUUUUCUUAGAGUUAUUUUUAGUGAAACAAACAUAACAUAAAUAUAUUUGUUACAAAAAAUUAUAUUAGUAUUUUCUUUUGACAAUUAAAAUUUAUUUUAUGAUAAGACAAUAUUUUAUAAUAGUUAAUAUCAUAUAUAUAUACACGUAAUAAUAAAUUAUGUUUAAUUAAAAAUUAAUUUAAAUUAAAUAUAUUAAUAAAGCUACAUAUAAUCAUAUUUUAUAUAAUUAAAAUAUUAAUAUAAAUAUUUUUUAAUAAUAUAUUAAAAAUAUUAAAAAUUUAAAAUUAUUAUUACUAAAAUUAAUUAUUAAAAUAAAAAAUGUAAUAUUAAAUAAUUUAUUCAAUGAUAAGUACUUAUAUUAAUAAUUUAUCGUAUUAUUAAAUAUAAAUAAUUAAAUAUGUAUGUUUAAUCAUAUUACGUUAUAAUAUUUUAAUAUUCUUAAAACAGUUUUAAAGAUGCUGGUGAUGGUGAUGCUGCAGGCCCUUCUUGUUAAUUUUUAGUGCAAUAAUUGAAGUUGUAGGGUGUGGUCAAGCAAACCUCUUUUGACUGAAAUGCAUGUGAUAUACCGGUAAGUGGCGUAUCUAGAGGGGGACUGGCGUUGCCCUCGCCCCCUCCUCCCCACCCCCCCCCCCCCCCCAAAAAAAAUUGAAAUUGUUAUUUAAAUUUUUUCAAAAAUUUUAAAUUAAUAAAAGUAACAUUAUACUUUAUCCUCUAAAAUUAUAAAAAUUCUAUUUAAUCCUUUAAAAAUUAUAAAUAUAUAGACUAUAAAAAAUUAAAAUUUCAUUCGACCCCCCUAAAAUAUUGUUCUGGCUUCGCCCUUGAUACCGAUGUUGAAUAUUUUAGAGUAUAUGUCUUCUUUAACAAGGUUAAAUUAUAUAUUUGUAUAAUAUAGUUAUUGUUCAUGGACGUGACAUCGUAACUAGGUUCUUAUGCAUGUUAACAUAUAUCCUAUUUUAGGGUUAACAUGUAUUUUUUAAAUGUGAAUUCAUCUGUAUAAUGAUAUGAACCCAUCACGCGAUCUCAUAAAAUAUGCGAAUAUAUGUCAUGCGAACACAAAAUACAAACCACACACAAUACAUAUCAAGACCCAAUUGUGUAAUUGGAUACGGAUCAGUAAUAAUGAAUUUUCAUAACAGCCACCAUCCCCUCUUUUUUUUCUAAUUUAUUUUAUUUCCAGUGAGUUAUUAUUUAUGAUAAUUCACAACAAAUGUUUUUGUCAUUAUUUUGUUGGUAAAUAAUAAUAAGAUUAAACUUUACUUUCUUAAGCUCCUUCAAUUCUUUGGACGUUGGUGGUUUUUAUUCUAAUCUUAUUUUCUUAUUAAUUUCUUUUUUAUACAUGUAUGGUAUUAACAUUAUAUCAAUUAAAAUUUAUUCGACUGAAAAUAUAAAUUUAAAAUUGUACUUCAAUUUAUCUUAAUUUAUAAAUGAUGAAUUUAAAUUUAUUUUUUUCCUCUCAUUAUAUUUUUCCGGAUAAUAUUUGGCCCUAGAACAAAAACUAAAACAAUAAAACAAAUAUAUAUGUUUUCCAAAAAUUAAAUUGUCAACUUUAAAAAUAUAUAUUUUUAGCUAUUUAUCAUCAUAGAGAAAAAAAAAAAAAAGGUCACCUAGCCUCAUGCUUCAACACCUCAACCUAGAUUCUCAUCACCUGUAUUUAUCAUUGAUUCAGAUUUUUAUUUUUACUAUAUUCAAGAACUACCUAUAACUAUAUCUUCAAACUUCCUCUGGUUAAGUUCAUUCAUAGAUAGGUGAGUAAACUUGAGCUUCAGCUUCAACAAACACCAUAGUUUGAAGACACAAUUCUCUCAUACUAAAAAUAUGGAAGUUUACCAUGUAAUUAGAGAUUUGGUCUCAUUGCUUGUUGUUGGGUUAUUAAUGAUAUGGGGAUGGAGAGCUUUAAACUGGGUAUGGUUGGCCCCAAAGAGGCUCGAACGGUGCUUGAGACAACAGGGUUUUGCAGGGAAUCCUUACAGGUUCCUUUCUGGUGACAUAAAAGAGCUCUCAACUAUGAGCAGACAAACAAGAGCCAAACCUAUGCCUCUUAGUGAUGAUAUUGGGCCUUAUGUUGCUCCUUUUCUUCAUCAAACUGUCAACCAGUAUGGUAUGUUUUUUAUUAUUUAAUCUUCAAUUUAUGAUAAUUCUUUGUUAUUUAUGUAUGGAAUUUAUUGGGAGGAAAUGCAGGAAAGAAUUCAUUUACGUGGAUUGGUCCAAGACAAAGGGUGAACAUUAUGGACCCUGAAAAACUAAGAGAAAUAUUUACCAAAUUUAAUGACUUCCAGAAGAUACGUACCAAUCCACUGCUUACUUUGCUUGUAAGCGGCCUUGUUAACCUCGAAGGAGACCGAUGGAGCAAGCAUAGAAAAAUCAUAAACCCUUCAUUUCAUCAAGAUAAGUUGAAGGUAUAGAAUAGUUAUGGGUACUCAGACUUUACAGAAAAUAUCAUACUUAAACCUAUGCAUUUCUGAUUUAGAAAUGAUUGGGUGCAGAAUAUGUUGCCAGCAUUUUAUCAAAGUUGUAGUGACAUGUUAAGCAAAUGGGAGAAGAUGGUGUGUACAGAAGGAUACAGUGAGUUAGAUGUGUGGCCUUAUCUCGUAGAUUUGACAAGAGAUGUGCUUUCCCGAUCUGCUUUUGGAAGCAGCUUCGAAGAAGGCAGACGAAUUUUCCAAUUACUAGACGACCAACUCGUUCUCAGAAUCAAAUUACUACAAACUGUUUACAUUCCAGGAUGGAGGUAACCCUCAACUUAAUUUACUUGAAAAAGGUUGCAAAUAUUGGAAUUGGCUAAAUUCGUGUUCGUUUUCUUGAAGGUUUUUUCCCACAAAGACAAACAGGGAGGUGAAGAUGAAACACAAAGACAUAAAAGAGUUGCUUAGGGAAAUGAUAAACAGAAGAGAGAAGGCAAUUAAAGCAGGGGAAAAGAGCAAUGAGGACUUGUUGGACAUACUUGUGGAAUCCAAUAUCAGAGAAAUGGAAGCAAAGAAUAUGAGGAUGAGCAUUGAGGAUGUGAUUGAGGAAUGCAAGCUGUUUUACUUUGCUGGCCAAGAGACCACUUCGGUCUUACUGGUGUGGACUAUGGUUUUAUUAGCAAGGUAUCCCGAUUGGCAAAGUAAAGCAAGAGAGGAGGUUUUGCAUGUUUUGGGUGACAGUAAAC
rnacentral:lncRNA from 1 species